rnacentral:lncRNA from 1 species
CGGCGCCCGGAGCCUCGGCACCUCCGCGCCGGCUGCUGCGGGCCCGGCCUGCCGGCGUCCCCGGGACCCGCGCCCGGAGGGGCGGUCGGGAGGUGUGGACGGCCCUGCCCGGGACAGCUCCGCGUGACCUUGGGCCGAGAGGGUUCCCCCCCCAGGCUCCGCGUGUGCCUGCGGGCGCCUGCUGCCGAGGUAGCGCGUCUCCCGGCUCUGAAGCGUGACGUCGCUGGAGAGGUCGCUCGGGCCUCUGUGGUGCCAGAGUCGGGAGCGCUAGGCCGCUCUGGAAAGUUGCUGUAGAAGAAAGGGGAAAAGGAAGACGCUGCUGGAGGAGAUCAGUAGCUCUGGAGACGAUGGAAGUUUACGUUUCUAAAUGGUAAUUGUUGAGCAGCCAGGAAAAGACUAGGAGAAAGAUGUGCUUAUGGUACCAGAUAAUAAGUUGUGUUUCAUCACAUAGCUCAGGGCCGGUACCUUCUACCCUCUUCCCUUUUCAACCACCUUACUUAGCACUUAUUUACAUACUUCACUGACUCACUUUGAGAGGAACUGACUGUGUGGUCGCUUAAAAGUUUUAAUCCUGGUUUUCAACUUUAGUAUCACUGACCCUCAACUUUCCAGAGUUUAAGAAUGUUUUACUGUCUCUCCCCUUAGUACCUAGUUUUGCAAUUGUUGAGGUUUCUAUCUGUGAUCCUAUAGGAAUGGAUUCAAUUCUAGAUUUGCUUUUUCUGAGGAUUUAUACUCAUUAUUUCCCAUCAGCUCACUUGUUCCAUAGAGCAGCCGAGUGAAGUAUUAUGAAAAUUACUGGACGUUUUCCUAUGAAGCACCUCAAAUCCUUCUCUUUCCACCUCUGGUCUCUCUUACACACCUAUUGCUAGGCUAGUCUUUGCUUUCAUUGUGUCAGUUUUCUAAAAUCAAAAUCCUUUCAUCAAAUUGAAUCUCUCCCAUCUGGUUUAUAGAUGAUUUUUUAAAAAUCCAGUGUCGGGCUGGGGAUUUAGCUAAGUGGCACUGCACCUGUCUUGCAAGCAAAAUGCCCUGAGUUUGAUCCCCAGUACCAAAAAAAGAAAAAAAACCAAUGUCCAGUCAUACUAGAAACUCUGCCUGUCCGUAGUUUCUGGGACAAGUGUGACAGCUUAUCUCAUUAGUGAUGUUUCCUCUUGAACCACUCAGAUACAACUUGUUCUUCAAUUUCUGACUCCUCCUUGGAGCUUCCCUAGAUGGUUAACCUCUUAAGGAUCUCACCCUGCUCUGAAUUUCUGUGGCAGCCCCUGCUAUUUGGUCAUUUAUAACAUACUCAUAAAGUCCUAAUAGUUUUCUAAAAGCUAGAACUCUUUAAGGUAUGAUGCUACAAUUUAGAGAAGCGUAACCCUUCAAAGUAUUUGUUAUGGCGAAGAAACCAUGUUUUUAAUACUCCUGUCAAGUUGAUGUGGGAGACCUGUCAGGAUUCUGUACCUUCCUGAUUGAGUAGUUCUGCUCUGUGAAUGGGAAGGGUUGGCCAGCUGCUCUUGACAGCCUCUUCUGAAGUUCUGGGACAACUUGGCCUUGCUUAAGGGAAAUGGGAUUGGGGCUCUUGCUGUGUUCUUGAGUGGAAUCGGUACAGACAUUCCAUAUCUUCAGCAUACAUUCUUUGCUGGAGAUUUCUAAUGCUAAACGUUAUUUUUUAAUUUUUCUGGCAAGCUUUUUAACCAUAAGAACUGGAGGAAGAUUUAAUAGGGGGCGAAUUAAUACUAAGAUGGUAUGUAUUGGGGACAGUAAAGCAUUAUGAUCCCUGGAAAUGACUUCCUAUAGUAGAAUAAAUAGGGCCAAUUACUGGAUAAGCUUUAAUCUUAAGCAAUUCUGAUUUAUAGUCAUCUCUCAGUGUUUGCAGGGGAUUGGUUCCAGGAUCCACCCUUCUGUGAAUGUUCAAGUCCUUUAUAUAAAGUGGCAGAGUAUUUGCCUAUAAGCUACACAUACCCUCCUGGAUACUUUUAAGUCAGCUCUAGAUUAUUAUACUUGCUGUAAUGUAAAUGCUUGUAAAUAGUUGUAUAAUAUAUUCUUUAAGGAAUAAUGGCAAUCAAAAAGGCUAUACAUGUUCAUUGCAAACAAUUUCAUAAAUAUUUUUUUAUUCCACUGUUGAGGCUCAGAUGUGAAAGCCAACUGUAUUAUGGAUUCCACUUUCAUUGAAUAAUGCUAUAAAAUAAUGAAAUUAUGGUUUUUUUAAUCAUUUCUUCACAUAAAAAGCCAUUAGGAUGUUCACAACUCUAGCUUAGAUGCUAAGUGACUUUCUAUUGUAAUCUGGUUGGUGAAAUGGCAUAAUUGUGUGUAUGUAUGUACAUAUUUCACAUGCACAUUAUGUUUAAAUGAAGGGUACCCUCAAAUUUUGAGAUGCUGUUAUACAUUGACCAGACUUUAAGAAUAUCUCUUUAAAGUGUAUUGACAUUUAAUUGACCUUUGAAAUUUCAUUCUGUUAAUCAUACUCAAAGUGCUAAAGCUAUGGUUGACUGCUCUGGUGUUUUUACAUUCAGUCGUGCUUAGCAUAUAAAUUCUUCAGCAUAAUUGCUACUUAUUUAGUAAAACUUUCCUUUCUUCUCUGGAAAUGUGAAUUGUGCUUGUAUUUUUGAGUCUGUUUUUUAAAGUUUGCUUCAGGCUGAAUAUCAUUAGAGGUCUGAAUUGAAAUGUUUUCCUGUCAUUAGUUGUAUGAGGUGUGGCUUCUUAAUAUAGAAGUAAUGGAAAUUUCUUGCUUAAAUGAAGAGUACUUUUAUUCCUGCAAAAGUUAGAACUCUAGGGCCGGGGAUUUAGCUCAGUGGUUUUGCCACCUAAUGCACAAGCGCAAGGACCCGAGUUUGAUCCCCGGUACCAAAACAAAAAAAAAAAAGUUAGAACUCUUUAAGAUACAAUGCUAAAAUUUAGAGAAGCUUAAUACUUCAAAACUAUGUUUUUCAACAUAAACUUUUACAAAUCUCUCAAUUCCAUUACUGUAGAUUAAAACUACCAGUGCUAAUACUUUUGUUAAAUAAGAAUUCAAGCAAACUAUUUUUAUAGAAGGCUAUAUUUAUAUUCCUUGAAUUGUUGUGAGUAAAAUUUUAUUUUAUUGUAAACAUAGUAUUUGCAAAAAAAAAAAAAAAAAGCUGAAAUAUGUUUCUUUUUUAAAUCUUAACAUUUUUACUACUAUCACCUAGACAUCAUCUGCUGAAAUGUUAUAAGGUUUCUGGGUCUUAAAUUUAUGAAAUCAGCAUUUGGAAGUAAUAUUUAAUGUACUUAUCUGUUUUAGAGGUUUCUAAUUUAAUAUUUCUAAUAACCGUGGAAAUGUUACUAAACUUUUUGCUUAAUUUUGACUUACAUUUAUCAUUUCUUGGAAUUACCUUUGAGACACCAGAUCUGUUUUUUGAACUUUUUACCUUAAAAAUAGUUAUCAAGUAGGAAAAUUUAAAUUUAAACCAGAGUUUUCUUUUUCAGGAGGUAAUUUUAUACUUUGCCAAUAUGUAGUUCCAUCUUUGAAAUGUAUUCUGGUCCAUUUGUGAACUCUGAUGUUAUUAUAUCAUUUACUUAUUCACACAUAACAAGUAUCUUAGUCCCACUGUCGUAGAACUCAUCUUAUUUUCUCAUUAAUAUUGCCCCAUCUUUUCUUUUUGUUUUUUUCUGUUCUCAUUAGAGCUGUUUCUUUUAUUUCAUUAUAGCCCCAUCUCCAAAUGAAAAAUAUAUCCUUUUCUCUUAGUCAAACAUUUAGCUUCAGAUUUGAUACUUUUUUAGAAUAUCCAAUAAAACAUCUUAAAUAAUAUCAUCUCCCUACGCAAAUCCUUACAGUGCUGAAUACAAGGACGCUCCAGAAUAACAGUGGCAAUUUCCAUUUUGUAAGCUACAGUUUCAGCUAAUAGACUUUUUCUUUCUGAGUAAUUAGUAUCUCUGGACUGUUACUGACUAAAUUUACUACUUUAAGAUAAAGUUUAAUCUCUUCAGAAAUCUUUCAUUAAGUCCAGAUAAGUCUAUUGGAUACAUGAUAGAGUAACAAAAUCAAAGUAGUUGCUGUUCUUUUAUUGUUUGAAGUGUACUUUGUCAUCAUAAAGAGCUUGCCUUCAUUUGGACCUGGGCAUAUGUAUUCACAGGUGGUUUAUUUUAUUUUAUUUAACAAAUUCUUGUACUUUCAUGUACCAAAUACUGUCCUAAACACUUUAUAAAUAUUAGUUUAUUUAAUCUUCUGAACUCAAUAGUAACAAAUAUCUUCAUUUUACAAUUGAGAAAACUAAGAAUUGCAGAUUUGCUUCACAUGCACACCUCCUCCUCAGGUUACAGAGGCAAUGUCACGCUCUUUUUCUGCCUGGAGCGUGUGUGCUUCAUACCAGGGGUGAGUGCCCAGGGAGUGGAAAAUUUCUCCCAUCUGCAUUUUGAGACUUGGGUGUGCUGCUUUAAGAUGCCACUGGUAUCUCAGUAAUGCUUGUUUAUACUGGAUCUUUUUCUCACAGUCUUCCUGAAUGGGACUUAUAAUACAAACAAUACUGUUAGCAGAACUGCAGGUACUCAAUUGCUAUGUUUAUUUUAGUAGUUAAAAAACUGCCAGAGCCCAAGGACUUCAUAACACAUUUUAAAAAUGCCAGAGGCAAUUUUUAAAAAUAGCUUAGAAACAAAGAAAAAAUAAGAGUUAAGACAUUGCAUGCUUUAGAGUGGUAAACAACGUGGUUGAUUCUUUCCCCUAAAGAUUCUAAAUAGUUCAUUUUCUAAAAGAUAAGUGUAUUCUUAUUGUACAGUAGUAUAUAAGUCCUUCUCUUAAUAGUCUCAGUGAAAUAAAAGUCUGGCACUUUUGUUCCAUAGAAUAUAAAAUUAAAGAUGGAAUAAGAAUUUAGCAAGGGUUAGAAUUUUUUUACGUACUCCUAAGAUAAUAUCUAAUAAUUUUAUUGGUCAGAUCACAGGCUUGCAAGUUCUUACUGCUGAUUUUUUAUUGUAUUGGCACAGAUUAUGACCCUUCCAGAAAGACUAAGUAUGGGCUCAAUCUUACUUUUAAAUUUUCUAUUAAUUCAUUUUAGGGUACUCCUGAAAUCUUUUUAUCCAGCUCUCUGUACCAAAGGUAGAUUACUCAUUGCGUUUAUGAAAAACCCUGUUUAAACAACAAAAUGUUGAGCUAAUAUAAAUGAUUAAAGUGUUGAUUUCGAGAAAAUUUCUUUUUUGGUAGCUGUUCAUUUCCCCAGAUAGAGAAACAUAAUCUUAUCAGGUUUGUUUAGAUGUCCGUCAGUAAAAUAAAGUAAAUUAAAGUUUUUCUCUGACCAUUGUAUAGCAAUAACAUGAUCUUCAAACAUUUGAGGAAACACUAAUAAGUCACCCUUUCAAAAUACAAAAAGGGAAAAGGAGCUUUUCUUUUGUUCUUUUAUCUGUCUUUCAUAUUUGUCCAUCCUUUCCUGUUGUCAUAGAAAUGUUUAGUUUCCUCCCCUGUCCUCUCCUUCUGUGCCUCCUAGACUGCCAUCAUGCCAAGCCUACCGUUAGGCAGAAAAGAAACCCAGGCUUUGAAGCUGGUGGAAACAGUCCUAAGCUUUCCCAGAUUCCUCUCCAGCAGCAGCUACAAACUCGACUUAGUGCUUGGCCUUAGGAGUGAAAUGAGUGUCACAUGAGCACUUCUGUCUUUAGUAUCCCUAGUGGGUAUAUUCAGCAUGGGUCUGUGGUGACUACUUGUUAUUUAGGUGAAUACAGUAGAGUGCAUCCAUAACAUGAAUUGUUUCCUAACUAGUCUGAACAGAAGUAUGGUUUUUAUCCUACAGGUGUAUAGUUAUUUUGUUGAAAAUCUAAAUUCUUACUUGAGCAACUGAGCUGCUGAUAGCCCAAAUCACUGUGAGUCAAAGAUGAACUCACAGAAGUCUCCUGAAGGUGUCUUUGAUUUUGAAGUGAAUGAGCUAUUUUAAAUUAAGUUGCCCUUUCUCCGAUGCAGUGGUGUGGAGGUCUGGUGACCCUGGUAUGGCCUGAGCUCUGAGUGCGAGGUUUUGCCUUUAGGUUCCUAUUUUCUGUCCACUCUGUCCCUGUUUGCGUCUGGUAGAAGUCACCUGGCCUCCUUUUUCUUUGCUGUUGACACCCAUUUCCCACCCUAGUCGUAUUGGAGACAACUAAGUUUUUCUGCAGAGAGAGUUACAAGUCAUCUGCUAACUACUGUCUGUACAUGUGUUCUCCAGCAGCUUUGUAGACCUAUUUUUAAAAGUGUGCAGGUGUGGAAAGUGAGUUGAAUGAAUUCAGGGUAAUUGCUGGUUCUUUGUAUUAUUAAAAAAAAAAAAUCACACUAGUUAAGGGAAGUCUGCUUUCAUGAUUUGUGGGUGUUUGAUUAAAAAAAAAUCUUCCAACUCUCCCUCGCUCCUGUUGCCUCUGUACCUCAUAAAUUCCACCAUGGAAGGAAUUAGAGUCAUAGGAGUUUAUGGCUGGAAGGGUUUUAUAGAGCAUCUGAUUAACCCUUUUAUUAUAGUUGAGGAAAUUGGUGUCCAGUGAGGUUAAAUGAGGUCAUGUGGUUAGUGUAAAAGCCCAAAUAACAUUUUAGCAGCUUGUCUCCAUUAGUAAGCACUGUUCUCAUUUAUUUGCCCUAAUAUAUUCAUAAUCAGGAGGUAAUAAUGAGGAAACAUACUAAGGGGCAGAUAGUGCUUUUUAUACAUAUCUCAGUCACUUAGUCAAGAGAGGUCUGGGAAGUGUAGAUACUAUAGUUUCCCUUUGUAGAGAAAAUGGACCCAGGCUCCCAGGGGAAGUGAUUGGCCCACCCCAGGCAUCUUAGCAAAAUGGCCCCAGGUCCCUUGUCUUCCCAUCUUGGCCAAAUCAUCUGCCUGUCCCAUGACCCUUCUGUAGACCACAAGAUAGCGAAUCCCUUCUUCAUAUGUGUUAUGGCUCUGGUUCUAGACUAGAACCAGUUAUUAACUUUUGUCACUGUUUUGUCAAUUGUUAAAAGGAAAACAGUUUUUAAAGACUUGUAUGUAAGCUUUUAAAUGUUUCAAAAGAAAGAUGCUGGGUAGUUGUAAAAAAUACGUUUUCUAAGAAUUCUCUUGCCAGUGUCUUGAAAGUUGAGGUAGAAUGUACUGAGCACCCAGUGUGAGGUGACCCAUAGGGCACCCAUGGGUGCAGCCGUGACUGAGACGAAGCGUGGCCAGCAGGAGAGUGCUGUGCUCUGGCCUCGACCUUCAGACUCACCUGUGGAGAGAACCAGCCCCAAGAAGCCUUCGUCCUCGUUCUCUCCAUGUUUGACAGACACUGUUCCCUGUGUCUAAGAUGGGUCAGCUUCUUCUAAAUAUCGGGACUCACAUUAAAGGAAACUUGUAAGAUAAAGAAAAGCAGGAAAAGUCCAUGAAUUUUUAAUAUGACAAUAUCACAUAGUUUUUUUUCCUGGGUUCUCUUUAACUUGAUGUCUAAUAGUCUCUGUUAUUGUUAGCUUUGAAAACAUGUCUUAAUAGUUACGUAAUUUUAGUAUGGAUCAGUUUCUAAGUAUAUCACUGGCUAUUCUUAUGGCAAUUGAUUAUUGAUAUUAUAUUAUACAAAAUGAAUAAAAAUGACUAAAUUAACCUUGGCUUUAUACAUGCCUUUUAAAAUUAAUAAUAAAUUAAGAUUAUAUUCUAAUCUUUUAAAAACGGCACUCCAAUCACUUAACUUGCUAAAAAUGUUGAUAGACGUAUCAACUUUGUGCAGCUGACCUAAAUUAGAAGUGGUGGUUUUUCAAGUUGUGAAAUUUAUAAAUAAAAUAAAUAUUUUAAGAGGCAGUUUCCAUUAUAGAAUUGUGCUCCUCUGAAAUAGUUUAUUAUUCUAAAGGUGUAGUACUGAUCAUGUUGGAUUUUUACAGUUUGGGAAAUGAUAGCUUUAUCAUUUGAACUACCUUGGCUUUCUCCUUUUUUCAAAGCCCACUUGGAUUCUAAGGUGUGCCACGGGAUGGUGACAGUGGAGCUCAUCCUCACCGUGGUGUCCCUCAAGCUCUGUGUCCUGCUUCUGUGUGGUGAGCGCCACCCCUGGGCAGGAGGCUGAGCUGAGGCAGCAGGUGGUCUUGGGCUGGCCGAGGCCCUGAGAAGUGCUGACACAGGGGAAGGAGGGAGCUGGAGGCUUGGGUGGAAAGUCCCAUGAGAGCUGGUGCUGGGCGCCCUGACCCUGUGGAACCCUCUCCUAGUGAGCAACCGGCCAGAGUUGGGAGGGGCACUCUUGGCGGAUGCCAGUGGGUGAAGGUAGGGUGCCACUGGUGGACUCUGGGGGGACCUGGCCUGGUAGUAAGUGGGCACUACUGUAAAGGAGAGUUUGGCAGUAAGUACGCAAUGAGCGAAUGAGUGGCUGAAUUGCUUUCAUCACCAAAGGGUCUUUUCUGUUCUUAAUUUUUUUUAACUUUUAAUUCUCAAUUUACAAUAGAAAUAGUUAUCAAACUAUUAUUAACUCCAUUAAUUUAAACCCACGCCCUCUUCUGCUCCACAAAUGAUCCAAAAAGACUUGCCAUAGCAGAACAUCAGAAAAGGAGAGUGACAGGGAUGUGAUUUCAGUGCCUUAAUCCUGGGGCCCUCGUCUGUGAUGUAUGUGUGAUGGCACUGCUUUAUGAUGCUGCGGCAGGAAUAAAUGAGACCAUGCAGAGACAUUGCCCAGCAUAUAAUACUAAGGUCACGUUAUUAGAACUAAAGCUGUAAACUCAAGCACACACACUUCAGCUCAAUUUUCUAUUUAUUUUUCACUACCAUUUUAUUAAAGAAUGCUAAUUGAACAAAAUAUUUACAUUCCUGCCUCGACUGGAAUGGAUAUUAUUAUUUUUUUUUAUGGAUAUUAUUCUUUAUAACUCUGUAAGCUCUGUAGAAUGCAAGUUAAUGCUUUCCUUCCUAAAAUUUGAGUUUCUUAACAAUCUUGCACUGCUCAUGGGAAAUUAUUACUCCCUGUAAAUUCUUAGACUCCAUCCAUAUUCACAAGGCAAGGGCCAGGUAGGGUCUGUAUUCUUGUGACUUCCAGAGAAAAGCAAAGGGAGGCUCAUGAUUAGUAGGAAAUAUAGUGAGAACGAGAAGCCCUGGAACUGGGCUAAAAACAGUGAAGAUUCCUAAAAGUAAAAGGAUGGAUCUGGGAAGGUGAAGACUUCAUCUUCAGGUGCAGAACUUUGUGUGGUUAGGUCAUUUCCAUUUCAGAUGAGCUCUCGAUUUGCUUUCUGUAGGAGACUGCUUGUGUUUCUUGUCUUCGAGUGCAUUUCUAAAAUAACAGGAGAGAAGCUGAAUGCUACUGCUGUUACUGCUGCUGCCUGGGCUUCGGGCUCACAGGGACAUGGCUGUUGUUAGCCAUAGGGCUGGACUGAUAGCGUGGAUGGACAUGGGGAGAGGAAGACGAGGUGGCGGUAUUCAUUCCUCUACCUGGAGGAGAGUCCUGAGAGACCGAAAACUAGAAGCAGGGAGGGGAGAGGAAUAACCUCUGCCAAUUACUCAUCAGUGCUUAAAAUCUCACCAGAUAUGGGGAUCUGAUUUAAAGAUUCUGAUCUCUUAAAACUCAGAGAAUUGAUUAUAUGAAUAGAGGCAGGGUGGGGCUUGUGUGGCUGGUUUUUAAGCUGUUCCUAGUUAUGUGUUGCCUGGGGAAAGUAUAUUAUCACAGGGUCAGUUGAAUGAAUUCAAGAUUGGAUCAUUUAGGAUAGCUAAGAAAAUUUUUUAAACUUUGUCCAGGACUGGUCUAAACUGUCCCCACCAGAAGGAACUGGACAAUUAUUCAGAUAGUUAAAAUGAAACUGAAGUCUGUAAGACUAUAAGACCUGACCAGGGUACAAACAACCAGAACUGCACUUUGAGGUAGGAAGACUUCGGGACCUCCUAAACAAAGCAGUAGGAAGUUCACUGUUUUCAACUAGGUAAAUUAUUUUCUGUAUUUCCAAGGAUAUAUAAGACAAAUCAGGGUCCGCUCUGUUGAAUACAACUGGAUCUUAUUCUGUGGUAUUUGUUUUUAAAUCAUGAUUUUUUUAAAGCAAUAGUUUUUAAUCUUCGACAAACUUACUUAGUUCAGUCCUUCUGUAUCUAUCAGUGGUUCUCUGUAGGGAAGGUACAAAAAAAGCAUUGGUUAUCUUUUGCGAAAUGUAUGUGUCCUGCAGCCUCCCCAUCUGUGGAAGAAUUGCAAAAUGUACGGGACAAGAGGGAAAUCCAGGUGUGUAGGCUUGAAAGAAGCUGUCCAGAUAACCUGCUGCCACCCUAUAACUUUGAGAACCAUUGUUCUCUGUGGAGCCUGUACUGCCCAAUGCCCCCAAAAGCAAAUAGUUGAAACAACUAACAUUGAAUUUCACCUACACUGACAAUUGUGUUUGGCUGUAUUGGAAAAAAAUCUGCUUUAGUUUUCACAUAGGUUUCCUCUCUCAGAUCUUGCUAGGAAAGAAACCUACACUUUUGGUCAUGAAGUGUAUCAUACUGAUUCUUCUUAAUUCCAUCUGUGAACUCUUAUGACUAAGAUCUUAAGGUCUUCCAUACUUUGAAGAAUUUUUCAUGUUUGUUUAUAAAAUGCUGAGCAAGAGUUUUUUCAAAGUUGUGCUAGGUUUUGCUAUCUCUUCCACAUGUUCAUGAACUUAUUUGUUAUUCUAGGUUGUUUGCUUAGUAUGUGCUGGUCAAUCACCAUUUAUCAUUUUAAUUUAAAGUUAUUACUGAAAAGUGGUAAGAUUCCAAGGCAAGUGGGGGUCUGUCACUUUGAGAAAAAUUUAUGGGAGUGAAAAUAUUUUCUUUUUGUAAACAGUUACUGAUGUACAGUGACCUCACAGGGAAUAAGCUUUGGUAUUUGUCUUUUAAUUAAAGAGUACCCCGCCUGUCUAGUUGUGAAUAACUUAAAAGAAGUGGGUGUCUUGGUGAGAAGUUCAUGAGGUUGGUAGCUGGAGCUGAGUUUGGAUGACUGACUCCUGUUCUGGUCUGUAGUGGUGUAUGAACGCCAAGUACUAAGAAUCUCUGGAAUGUAGAAUUGCACAGCACUGAUAAAGUUUGCUUUGUUCCCCUGUGUGACUUGACCCAUUGAGAAAGUGUGGUUCCCUAGGAAGUUUUAAUAGUUCAAAGUCCUUAGUUAAUAAAGAAAAGGGCCACAACAUAAUUCAGCUUGUUUUCACCUGCUGCCUCAAAGAUUAACUUUGCUAACCUUAAUGAGAUAGAGUUACCCUUUGCUUUGAAAAAGUCAUUUCUGGAGCGCUUCACAUUUGUCAGUUUCAGUAAACAUGACACUGUUAUGAGGAUUUUGUUUUUGUUUUGGGUUGGCUCACAAACUACUAAAGACUUCUGCAAUUUAAGAGCCUUGUUGUAACUUCAUCUAAAACCAAAUCUCAGGGAAAGGCACACCCACUUUUGUGUAUCAGCUUAAUCUUCCACAGGAUUCAAAAGGGUUUUGAAUUACUUCAGGAAAGUAGGCAGUGAUAGAGUUUAACCUUCAGUUUUCCUCAUUUAUUUUCAUAAGAGAAUAGGAAUGGAAUUCAAAACAUUCAAAUUUGCAGUUACUGUGCGUCACUGUGCUGCCAGUGAUAGGGUCUGUGUUUUUCCAGUGGGAAACUUUGAUCACAGACGAAUACAUGUCUGUUCUAUUCCUCUUUAGUCCCUUCUGUUUUUUCUCCUGAUUGUUGCUUACUUUUUCAAAAAUCAGCUGACUGUACAAGUCCUCUCUGGGAGCAGAUUUCAGAACAAAAGUCAUCUAUAAAAUCAGCACGGGCUUCUGGGCCCCCAUUCCACCGCUCUCAGCCCAGAGGAAGGGGUUUCCAUGCCCCCGUUCCACCGCUCCUAGCCCAGAGGAAGGGGCUUCUGGGCCACUGAUCCACUGCUCCCAGAACAGAGGAGGUGAGCCACACAGGUGCCAACAUCACUCCCUACCCCAGUCAAAAUGAGAAGACACAUAAACAAGUCUAAAAACCAGAUUUCCAGAUCACCUACAGCAACCCCAAAGGGAAAUGAGAUGGAACACUCUGGUGAGUACCACCAGGACUAGCUGAACUGGCAACAAAAGAGGAUCUGGGAAAAAUGAAAUCAGAAAUAAUCACUCAGAUAACAGCAGAGAUUGUGCCCACAGUGUAAGACAUGACUAAUAAAUCUAGAGAGGACACAGAUUAAAAAAACAGAGGAGCUGAGGAACAUGAUGGAAUCCCAACAUAGGAAACAAAUGGAAUCCAUAAAACAGAUGCUAACAGAUUUCCAGGAGAUUUAAAACUCCACUGAAAGUCUAUGUAGCAGAAUGAGCCAAUGUGGGGACAGAAUUUCAGAUAUAGAAGAUAAGAUUGCAAUUAGUGACCAGGAAAAGAAAAAUUGCUUUAAAAUUGUAAAGGAACAUGAGAAAUCAAUCCAGCAGCUGCUAGACUAUGCAAAGAAGAAUAACAUAAGACUGAUCAGAGUCAAUGAAGAAACAGGAGACAGUGCAGAUGACAUAAAAAAACUGUUCACAGAAGUGAUGGGAGAAAACUCCCCAGACAGGGGAAAAGAACUUGAGAUACAGAUAAGUGAGGUAUAUAGGACUCCAACUAGCCUUGAUCAAAAAAAAAUGUACACAUAGGCAUAUUAUUAAGAUUCCAGAAACCCAACAGAAGAACAAAGUUCUACAAGCAGUUAGAGAAAAGAAACAUCACAUACAAAGGAAAGCCCAUCAGAAUCACAGCAGACUUCUCAAUACAAACCAUCAAGGGAAGAAGAGCUUGGAGUGAUGUAUUUCAAGCCCUAAAGGAAAAGAGCCUCCAAUCCAGAUUGAUGUACCCUGCAAAACUAUCUUUCAAAAUUGAUGGAGAAAUAACAUACUUUCAUGACAAAGAGCACCUUAGAAACUUCAUGAAUUCCAAACCAGCACUCCAAAAAAUUUUAGAUAAUAACCUAGGAACAGACAUUGAGGAUCACAACCCCAGGAAGCAAAGCAGAAUGAAUCCAUUGGGCACGACAAGAAAUUAAAUGUAAAAGGGGCGAAUCCAACAAAAAGAAAAAGUCAUGAACUUCAUCUCCCGAAUGAGUGUAUAAUUCAGUCUUGUUAUUGUACUGAUUAGUAUUUUUCUAAUUCUAGUGUUGCACGCCUUUCCUUGUGCUGUACUGGCUAUUUUACCAUCUUCAUGUGUCUACUUUCUAAUUAGGUUGUCUAUUAAUGAACUGUAAGAAUUCUUUAUAUAUUCUGAUCACAGGUUAUAUGCAUUGUAAAUAUGGUCUGUUUAAGGACUACUUUUCAUUUUAACUAUGUCAUUUAAAGUUCUAAAUUUUGAUGGAAUCUCAUUUAUCAGUGUUUUUCUUUUAUACAUCAUGUUUUAUAUUUUUUUCCCAUUAAGUUUAUUGGUACAUUUUAGGUAUAAAAUACAGUUACAUUCAUCAUUGGGAUCUUGUACCAUUACAUGAGUAUCUUGGUUCUUUUUGUUUUUCCCCUUCCCUUGCCCUCCCUUUGCCCCCUCCACCCUUCCCUAUUUGCAAAGACUUUGUUUCCAUUCUUCUCCUUUUCUCAUAUUUUUUCUUUUCCCUUUUUUCCUUUCCCCUACCCCUCCCACUUCCCCUGCUCCUUUAGACCUUUUCACCCUGUUACACAGUAUCAAUUAUACAUUUUUAAAAUUACAAUAUUAAGAUCUAGGAGACAUUGCCACAGAUUUUACAGAAUUUAAAAGGAUAUAGAAAGCAUAUUACAAAAAUCUCUUUUGAAGUAAAUUUGACAACUUCUAAGAAGUACCUUGGAAGACAAAUUAAUGAAACUAACUCUGGAGGAAAUAUAAAAUUUGAAUAGCACCUAUUAAAGAAAGUAUAUUCCUAGCUUGAAAACCUACCUAUAUGACAACAGCAGGCUCAUAUACAUUUUAACUGAAAAAUUAUAUCAAACAAAGCAGAAAAAAGAAGGAACACUUCUCCCCUCAUUUUAGAAACUCAACAUUGUGCUAAUCCUAAAACUGGAUAAGGAUAAUAGAAAAAAAAAGUAUGAACAUAGAUAGAAACUUGUUUAACAAAACAAACUAUUAGAAGUCAGUUCUGGCAAUAUGUAGAAAGUGGUUUUGUUAUAGGGAUGGCAGUGUUGGUUCAGCAUUGGAAGAUACACCCCCAAAAGUCAUCAUUGUAACAGAGGAAAGGAAAAAGCCAUAUGAUCCUGUCACUAGUUGGAGAAAAAGUAUUGGACUAAAUUCUACAGCUGUUCAUGGUAAAAGCUAUUAGGAGGCUAGAAGUAGAACAGAACCUUCUCAACAGAUAAAAGACAUGUACUCCAUACUUCCAGGAAAAACACCUCAUAUGAAUAGAGAAAACAAUGCUUUCACCCUAAGGUGGGGAACAAGGGCAGAUAUGCCUACUCUUCAUCUGUCCAUUAAAUUUUGAAACAUAGGCCCAAACCAAAAUAGUGGCAAUAAAAUGACACAAUUAGGAUAAGAUUGGCAAGGUAGAAGCAAAAUCUUUAUAUGUAGAUGAAAUGAUCAGAGAAAAUGCUAAGAAAUUUCUAGGAGCCCCUAGAACUUGUAUUUGAAUUGCGCAGGAUUAGAAAACACAAGGUAUGUAUAAAAAUUCAGGUCUGUGUAUACUUGCUAUAAAUGAAGAACUGGAUAUUGAAAUUUAAAAGUUUUGUAGGCAUACAAAGGACCUAGAAAAGUUUAAAAAAAAAAAAAGAACCAAAACAAAACCAGUGUUGGAAGACGUUUAGUACCUAAUUUUCAGACUUCUUCUAAAGCUACAGUAAUCAAGGCAGUGUUGGUGUAAGGAAAGACAUAUAGAUCAUUUGAAUAAAACAGAGAAUCUCGAAAUAGAACCACACAUAUAUGGUCCACUGAGAUUUGAAAGAUUAUUUAACAUUACCAUUUUAUAGAAUAUAAACUCAAUUCAAGAGCCGAGGAAGAAAUAGUGUUUUCAGCAAACAGCACUAGAACACCUGGUAUCUGUAUAUAAAAAAUUAACCUCAACCCUUUAUUUCCAUACAUGAAAAUAACUUGAAGGGAUCUAUGAACCAUAAAUAAAGCCUAAAAGUAUAAAACUUGAAGAAAUUAUAAGGGAAAAUGUUUAUGAAUUCAGGGUAGGCAAGAACUACCUAGGAUACAAAAGACAUGAUGUAUAAAAGAAAAAAAUUGAUAAAUGAGAUUCCAUCAAAACUUAGAACUUUAAAUGACAUCAUUAAUAUGAAAAGUAGUCCUUAAACAGACCACAUUUACAAUGCAUAUAACCUAAGAGCAGAAUAUAUAAAGAAUUCUUAGAGCUCAUUAAUAGACAACCUAAUUAAAAAGUAGACAUAAGAAGAUGAUAGCCAGUAUAGCACAAGAAAAGGUGUGUAACUCUAGAAUCAGAAAAACACUAAUCAGUACAAUAAUAAGAUUGAAUUAUACACUCAUUAGGGAGAUGAAGUUAAAAGUUUUAAAAGGCUUGUCAUGACUUUUUUUGUUGGAUUCUCCCCCCUUUGCUUUUAAUUUGUCAUGCCCAUUGGAUUCAUUCUGCUGGGUUUCCUGGGGUUGUGAUCCUCAUUGUCUUUUCCUAGGGUAUUAUCUAAAAUUUAUUUGAGUGCCGGUUUGAUAUUCAUGAAGUUACUGAGGUGCUCUUUAUCAUGAAAAUAUCUUAUUUCUCCAUCAAUUUUGAAAGAUAGUUUUGCAGGGUACAUCAGUCUGGGUUAGAGGCUGUUUUCCUUUAGGGCUUGAAAUACAUCACUCCAAGCUCUUCUUGCCUUGCGGGUCGGGUUUGUGUUGAGAAGUCUGCUGUGAUUCUGAUGGGCUUUCCUUUGUAUGUGAUUUGUUUCUUUUCUCUCACUGCUUGUAGAAUUUCAUUCUUCUGUUGGAUUUCUGGAAUCCUAACUAUUAUAUGCAUAUGUGUAGAUUUUUUUUGAUCAAGGCUGGCUGGAGUCCUAUAUGCCUCACUUAUCUGUAUGUCAAGUUCUUUUCCCCUCCUUGGGAAGUUUUCUGCCAUCACUUCUGUGAACAGUUUUUUUAUGUCAUCUGCACUGUCUCCUGUUUCUUCAUUGACUCUGAUCAGUCUUAUGUUAUUCUUCUUUGCAUAGUCUAGCAGCUGCUGGAUUGAUUUCUCAUGUUCCUUUACAAUUUUAAAGCAAUUUUUCUUUUCCUGGUCACUAAUUGCAAUCUUAUCUUCUAUAUCUGAAAUUCUAUCCUCACAUUGGUUCAUUCUGUUGUGCAGACUUUCAGUGGAGUUUUAAAUCUCCUGGAAAUCUGUUAGCAUCUGUUUUAUGGAUUCCAUUUGUUUCCUAUGUUGGGAUUCCAUCAUGUUCCUCAGCUCCUCUAUUUUUUUAAUCUGUGUCCUCUCUAGAUUUAUUAAUCAUGUCUUGCACCAUGAGCACAAUCUUUGCUGUUAUCUGAGUAAUUAUUUCUGAUUUCAUUUUUCCCAGAUCCUCUUUUGUUGCCAGUUCAGAGAGUCCAGGUGGUUGAGUAUCAGAUUGUUCCAUCUUGUUUCCCGUUGGGGUUGCUGUAGGUGAUCCAGAAGUCUGUUUUUGAAGCUUGUUUACGUGUCUUCUCAUUUCCAUGGAGGGGUUUUCUGUUGCCCACGCAGCUCAGCUUCUCUGCCCUAGGAGCUUGGCAUGGCAGUGGAGGAGCUUCCUUCCGGGUGCUGGGACUGGCUCACCUUCUCUGCCCUAGGAGCUUGGGAUGGUGGCAGGGGAGCUUCCUUCCGGGUGCUGUGCACAUCAUGUUUUCUGUAUCCUAGGAAAUUCUUGCCUACCCUAAAUUCAUAGAUAUUUUCUGUUAUAAUUUCUUCUUAAAGUUUUAUAGUCUUUCAUAUUUAGAUUCAUAGAUCUUCUCAUGUUAUUUUUAUGUAUGAAAAUAAAGAGUUGAGGUUAAUAUUUUAUAUACAGAUACCAGGUGUUCUAGUGCCAUUUGCUGAAAACACUAUCUUUUCCUCUGCUCUUGAAUUGAGUUCAUGUUCUAUAAAAUGUUAAUGUUAAAUAAUCUUUGAAAACUCAGUGGACCAUAUAUGUGUGGUUCUCUUUCUAGAUUCUCUGUUUUAUUCCAAUGAUAUAUAUGUCUUUCCUUACACCAACACUGCCUUGAUUACUGUAGCUUUAGAGGAACUCUUAAAAUUAGGUAGUAAAUGUCUUCCAACACUGUUUUCUUUUACUUUUUACUUUUCCAGGUCCUUUGUACUCCUACAUAACUUUUAAAUUUCAGUAUCCAAUUAUUCUUUUAUAGCAAGUAUACAUAGACCUGAAUUUUUAUUAUACCUUGUGUUUUCUAAUCAUGCGAAAUUCAAAUACAAGUUCUAGGGGCUCGAGAUUUCUUAGUAUUUUCUCUGUAGAUGAUCAUUUCAUCUAUAUAUAAAGAUUUUACUUCUACCUUGCCAAUCCUAUCUUAUUUAUUUAUUUAUUUAUUUAUUUUUGUUGUUGUUGCUUUUUUGGUACUGGGGAUCGAACUCUGGUCCUUGUGCUUAUGCAGCAGGCGACGAAACCACUGAGCUAAAUCCCUGGCCCCAAUCCUACCCUAAUUGUGUCAUUUUAUUGCCAUACUAUUUUGGUUUGGGCCUAUGUUUCAAAGUUUAAUGGACAGAUGAAGAGUAGGCCUAUCUGCCCUUGUUCCCCACCUUAGGGAGAAAGCAUUUUAUCUUCUUCAUUCAUAUAAAGUAUUAUUCUUGGAAGUAUGGAGUACAUGUCUUUUAUCUGUUGAGAAGGUUCUGUUCUACUUCUAGUCUCCUGAUAGCUUUUACCAUGAACAGCUGUAGAAUUUAGUCCAGUACUUUUUCUCCAUCUAUGACAGGGUCAUAUGGCUUUUUCUUUCUGCUUUAAAUGUUUGAUAUAAUUUAUCAGUUAAAACAUAUAUGAGCCUGUUGUUGUCAUAUAGGUAGGUUUUCAAGCUAGGAAUAUACUUUUUUUAAUAGGUGCUAUUCAAAUUUUAUACUUCUUCCAGAGUCAGUUUCAUUAAUUUGUCUUCCAAAGUACUUCUUAGAAGUUGUCAAAUUUACUUCAAAAGAGAUUUUUGUAAUAUGCUUUCUAUAUCCUUUUAAAUUCUGUAAAAUCUGUGUUAAUGUCUUCUCGAUCUUGAUAUUAUAAUUUUAAAAAUGUAUAAUUCUUCCUAUUGUAUAAUAGAAAGAAAAGGUCUAAAGGAGCAGGGGAAGUGGGAGGGGUAGGGGAAAGGAAAGAAGGGAAAAGAAAAAAUAUGAGAAAAGGAAAAAUAUAGAAACAAAGUCUUUGCAAAUAGGGAAGGGUGGAGGGGGUGAAGGGAGGACAGGGGAAGGGGAAAAAAAUAAGAACCAAGAUACUCACGUAAAGAUACAAGAUCCCAAUGAUGAAUGUAACUGUAUUUUAUACCUAAAAUGUACCAAUAAACUUAAUGGAAAAUAAAGUAAAUAUUAAAUUUAGACCCAAUUGCUUGCAUAGUAGUCUUGGCAUAUCAGUAUAUAUCAGUUACUUAAACUAAAACACACUUUUGCUUUAAAAUAUUAGAGGAACUUUUAAUGUUCCUUCCUUCCUUAAUUUAGAAUGUAAGACAGUAGGAAAGCUUAUUUCACAUGAGCCUAAUGACAACAACAAAAAUAUACAAACACAAUGACUCUGGCAUGUGAUUUCAAGGAAGCAUUUGGACUAGCUGGUCUGCAGCAACCACAGACAUUGUUCAAGUGCUUGCUGAGCAGCUCAGUUUGGUUGGGUCAUCAGCCUGUCGAGAUUUUGCCCACAGGCUUAAGGAAACCUUCCUGGAGACAAGUCUCAAAAAUGUUUAAAAUUUCACCUCCAGCCAGGAGAUAUAGAUUAUAUGGGUAAGGAAAAACCUGCUUAAAGCAGAAUGAGAGGAAAGUCAUAUGUCCUCUCUGCCUAAAUUAAAAGGGAGGACAUUGGGGUAGUCCAGAUUUCAAUAGAUAUUAACUUUCAGGCAUAAAUGAAAUAUGUGUUGAUAUUUAUUCCAUUAUUCUAGAGAUGACAUGUAUUGGUCACCUACUAUGUGCCAGUUCUAUGCAAAGGGACAUAACAGAGAACAGAAAUCAAAUCCUUGCAUUUAUGAGACUUACAGGUCAAUAAUGUGUCAUAGUUGAAAUGCCAUGUUUAUUCUAUUGUAUCUGUAAAGUAUCUAAUUUUAUUCAUUGCCUUUUUCAGUCCUUCAAAGCCAAGUGAAUUUAAAUAUUUGAGAACAUUUAUUUCACUAUCUAUGAAAGGUUAUUAGACAAACUUACACAGUAAUGUUAGCCUUUCUAUGCAGCAUUGUUCUUCCACUAUACUGUAACUGGACUGGUUUGUGACAGAGGUAGGUGGUAUUGAUAA